rnacentral:tRNA from 1 species
AAAAAAUUAGUUAAAAUAUAACAUUAGUAUGUCAAACUAAAAUUAUUAUCCCUUAUAAUAUUUUUUG